rnacentral:rRNA from 1 species
CAGCCGCCGCGGUAAUACGAAGGGGGCUAGCGUUGCUCGGAAUGACUGGGCGUAAAGGGAGCGUAGGCGGACAUUUAAGUCAGGGGUGAAAUCCCAGAGCUCAACUCUGGAACUGCCUUUGAUACUGGGUGUCUUGAGUGUGAUAGAGGUAUGCGGAACUCCGAGUGUAGAGGUGAAAUUCGUAGAUAUUCGGAAGAACACCAGUGGCGAAGGCGACAUACUGGAUCAUUACUGACGCUGAGGCUCGAAAGCGUGGGGAGCAAACAGGAUUAGAUACCCCCGUAGUCCCUGUCUCUUAUAA